AGGAGGACUAUCUGGUGGAGGAGCAGGAGGAGGAGCAUCUGGAGGAGGAGCAUCUGGAGGAGGGGGAAGAGAAAUCCAAUGCAUCCAGAGCCAUAGCGGUAACUGGAGCUGGAGCUGGGUCUUGGCUGCCUUUCCCUUCCUAUCAAGAGCUAUUCCCACCAUAUGUUAUUCAUGUGGUACAGACAGAGGUCAGCAGACUCUUCCUGUGAAGGGCCAGGUCAGUGGUCUCAGACACCUAAUGCUGCUGCUGGAGAAUCUCUGUUACUCAUGGUGUCCGUCCCCCGUCUUCUCCCGUUUGAGAUAUUUUUGACUACUCCAAGAGGCAAUUAAAAAUGGCUACCCA